rnacentral:rRNA from 1 species
CCUACGGGCGGCAGCAGUGAGGAAUAUUGGUCAAUGGCCGGAAGGCUGAACCAGCCAAGCCGCGUGAGGGAGGAAGGCGCAGAGCGUCGCAGACCUCUUUUGCCGGGGGACAAAAGGCAGGACUCGUCAGGUCCUGAGGGUACCCGGAGAAAAAGCAUCGGCUAACUCCGUGCCAGCAGCCGCGGUAAUACGGGGGAUGCGAGCGUUAUCCGGAUUAGUUGGGUUAAGAGGGUGCGGAGGCGGGUCUUUAAGCUGGCGGUGAAAUCGCGGGGCUAAACCCCGCCGAGCCGUUGGAACUGGGGGCCUUGAGUGCGGCGGAGGCAUGCGGAAUGCGCGGUGUAGCGGUGAAAUGCAUAGAUAUGUCGCAGAAUCCCGAUUGCGAAGGCAGCGUGCCGGGCCACCACUGACGCUGAGGCACGAAAGCGCGGGGAUCGAACAGGAUUAGAUACCCGUGUAGUC